GCUGGGCACGGUGGCACGUGCCUGUAGUCCCAGCUACUCGAGAGGUUGAGGUGGGAGGAUCACUUGAGCCCAGGAGUUCUGGGCUAUAGUACGCUAUGUCGAUUAGGUGUCUGCACUAAGUUCAGCAUCAAUAUGGUGAACUCCAGGGAGCGGGGGACCACCAGGUUGCCUAAGGAGGGGUGAACCGGCCCAGGUCAGAAACGGAGCAUGUCAAAACUCCCAUGCUGAUCAGUAGUGGGAUCGUGCCUGUGAAUAGCCACUGCACUCCAGCCUGGGCAACAUACCGAUACCGAGACCCCAUCUCUA
ensembl:misc_RNA Metazoa_SRP Metazoan signal recognition particle RNA